rnacentral:lncRNA from 1 species
AUUUCUUGUAACGCAGAUAAAAUCCCAUAUAGUCAUCAUCAUUAUCCUCAAUCAUCACUCCUAGUAUACGCUUAGAAAUUUUCAUAAUAUAUAUGAUUAUUGUUGCAAAUGCCAUAUUUAUAUUGAAAUUUUUGAGAGCCAGAUGACACAUGCAUGCAAAAUUGAUCUACAUUGUCCCCUGCAAUAAGGCACGCUAUAUUUCAAGCCCAUGCACGAUUUUCUCACAUCACUCAUUGUUUCACAUCUGCGAUUCCAAAUUUUAAGAAUAUAGCCUGCAUAAUGAUACAAACUGUUAAUUCAAAACAUUAGCUAGAAACUCAAAGUACAUGGUAAAUAUAGAAAGGUUUGUUAUUUUCUUUAGGUGAAUCGACUAACACACAUAUAUAUAUAUAUACACACACACACA